AAGAAAGUGACUGCCGCCCCGCACAGGGGCGAAGCUAAUAAACCAAUAUCAAUGCAAGUUUCACAGAAGCGCAAGCGCAUCAGACGGUUCAACAAGAAAAGCCCAAC
rnacentral:sRNA from 1 species